AGCCGGGGGCACGUCUGUCUGAGCGUCCGUUUCCUCUUUGGGCCCCUUUCUCUAUUUCGUUAGAGGAAAGAGGCCGCGCUGAGGCGUCGUCCGCGUAGGCGGGCGUCCCUUGAAGCGUCUUCGGCGUCGGCGAAAGGAAAAGGGGGCCGUCGUACUCCUUCAAUCGCCUUGCGCGUCGGGAACUCGACGGCGACAAGGCAUUGGGAAGACGACUGGGGGCCCCUUUCUCUCUCGCGGUUUGACGCGUGUCCCGGUUUGGCCAAACGAUUCCAUCCUGGACCUCAGCUCAGGCGUGACUACCCGCUGAAUUUAAGCAUAUCAAUAAGCGGAGGAAAAGAAACCAACAGGGAUUCCCCCAGUAACGGCGAGCGAAGCGGGAUGAGCUCGAGCCUAAAAUCUCCGGCGCACAGCCGGCGAAUUGUAGCCGAGAGAGGCAUCCACGGCGUGACGGCGGGUCGACCGAAGUUGACCUGGAAUGGCGCGUCAGAGAGGGUGAGAACCCCGUGCGCGGCCGUCCCGACGUCCGCAUCGGGUGCCUUUGGAGAGUCAGGUUGUUUGGGAAUGCAGCCCAAAGUGGGUGGUAAACUCCAC
rnacentral:rRNA from 1 species